GCAAGUCGAACGGCAGCACGGGGCAACCUGGGUGGCGAGUGGCGAACGGGUGAGUAAUAUAUCGGAACAUACCCUAGAGUGGGGGAUAACGUAGCGAAAGUUACGCUAAUACCGCAUACGAACUAUGGUUGAAAGUGGGGGAUCUUCGGACCUCAUGCUCAUGGAGUGGCCGAUAUCGGAUUAGCUAGUUGGUGAGGUAAAGGCUCACCAAGGCGACGAUCCGUAGCUGGUCUGAGAGGACGACCAGCCACACUGGAACUGAGACACGGUCCAGACUCCUACGGGAGGCAGCAGUGGGGAAUUUUGGACAAUGGGGGCAACCCUGAUCCAGCAAUGCCGCGUGAGUGAAGAAGGCCUUCGGGUUGUAAAGCUCUUUUGUCAGGGAAGAAACGGUGAGUUCUAAUACAACUUGCUAAUGACGGUACCUGAAGAAUAAGCACCGGCUAACUACGUGCCAGCAGCCGCGGUAAUACGUAGGGUGCAAGCGUUAAUCGGAAUUACUGGGCGUAAAGCGUGCGCAGGCGGUUAUAUAAGACAGAGGUGAAAUCCCCGGGCUCAACCUGGGAACUGCCUUUGUGACUGUAUGGCUAGAGUGUGUCAGAGGGGGGUAGAAUUCCACGUGUAGCAGUGAAAUGCGUAGAGAUGUGGAGGAAUACCGAUGGCGAAGGCAGCCCCCUGGGAUAACACUGACGCUCAUGCACGAAAGCGUGGGGAGCAAACAGGAUUAGAUACCCUGGUAGUCCACGCCCUAAACGAUGUCUACUAGUUGUCGGGAUUUAAUUAUCUUGGUAACGCAGCUAACGCGUGAAGUAGACCGCCUGGGGAGUACGGUCGCAAGAUUAAAACUCAAAGGAAUUGACGGGGACCCGCACAAGCGGUGGAUGAUGUGGAUUAAUUCGAUGCAACGCGAAAAACCUUACCUACCCUUGACAUGGUUGGAAUUCUGAAGAGAUUUGGAAGUGCU
rnacentral:rRNA from 1 species